GAAUGGACCUAACAAUAGGACCGAAUGGAAGAGGUGAAUUGAGGAGGCCAUGGACCGAACGCGGACCGGAGAGCCAUAGAAGAAGAAGAAGAGCUUUAAAUGAAAUGCCAUUAUAUUACUCGUCAAUUUUUGGGUGCUGGAGACGCAUGUUAUUGAGUUGUCUUUGAUUUACAUUAUAAAGGUGUUUCAAUUACGCCGAUUCCGUUUACACCGCUUCGUCCAGGAACGCAUCCCGGGUGUAAAUCAAGAGCUACCUGCAUAUAUAUUUCAGUUGCAGUAAUGGGGAAAACGGCGAAGGAAAAACACGGGAAUGAGAGGCGCAGGCCUUACAUCUAUCCAAGAAAUGCCCAAGCUCACGCUCAGAACUCGGGUACUUAUCGGAACUACAGUUAGUCUUCCGGGAAUGUACCAAGGUACAGUAAACUUUGCUAACAUGUGCAACUGGUAAAAUGAAAUGUGGGUAUAUAGGAAAGUUGUUUGGCCUGUCCUCUCAUAGCCUUUUGUGAAGGUGUAGGUGUACUCACAUGUGCAUAGUGUCAGUGUAUUAUUAUUUUAUUUAAAUUACCUGAGUCUUUAACAUUUAAAUAGUAUAUUACAAGUGAUUGCAUAUGCUCUGUAUUGUUUCAUGUUUUGUUUUUCUGUAAUAAAAUUGUAAUUCAGCAGG